rnacentral:rRNA from 1 species
UAGCCGUAAACGAUACUCGCUAGGUGUCGGCCACGGUGCGACCGUUGUCGGUGCCGUAGGGAAGCCGUGAAGCGAGCCACCUGGGAAGUACGGCCGCAAGGCUGAAACUUAAAGGAAUUGGCGGGGGAGCACCACAACGGGUGGAGCUUGCGGUUUAAUUGGAUUCAACGCCGGAAAUCUUAUCGGGACCGACAGCAACAUGAAGGCCAGGCUGAAGACUUUGCCGGAUUAGCUGAGAGGAGGUGCAUGGCGUAGUCGUGU